CUUAGUAUCAGGUUCCAGAAGUUAGGGGCUCAGCCCUGCAAGAUGACCUUUCCUUCAGGUACCAAUCCCAGACCAUGGCUACCCAUACUUGUAACUGGUUAGCUGUGCUGGGGCUCCCUUGUCCUGCUCCACGGGUUCAAUAGUUGUCUCUCAGAACUCAGAAAAGUGCCCUACUUAGGAUCACAGCUUUAUUAUGAAGCACGCUAAUUUGGAAUGGCCAAAUGGUAGUGAUAAAGGGUGAGGCAUUGAAGGAUGAUGUUGUAAAGCUUCAGGCCUUCUCUGGACUCACCCACCUCCCAGCAUCUUCACCAGUAUCUGAAUCCUGUUGUCUACAGGAAUUUGUGGAGUUUCAUUAUGUAGGCAAAUUUAAUUAAAUCAUUGGCCUUUUUAUCAUUUAACUAAAUCCAAGUCUUUCCUGCUUCCCCAGAGGGGGAAGUUUGCUGAAAAUUUAAACCUUCGAAUCACCUGAUUGGUUCCUCUGGCAACCAACCCCAUCCCCACCCCCAACCCUGCCAAAGUCAUGCAGCUAGCAUAAACUGAUGUGAGUUCCAGUGAGGUCCUGUCAGGAAAUCCCAUGGGUUUAAGGAGCCCUGUUCUGGUACAAUUAUACAAUUAUAUCACAUUAAGGCCACAACACCUGGUCCCUCCAUCCUUAGUUCUAUCAAUUCCAUGACCUCCAGAGCCAGUCAAGAGAACACUCUUGUGUUUCCAGAGUCCCAGUUCCAUGAGAUUUUGGCCCUUGGGGAAGGAAGAGAGUGAUGACCCAAGAUGAGCAGCCCCCAGAGAUGCUAGAAUUGACCCCUUGAGUCCCUAACACCCAAAUUACAAGCAAAUCUUGGUAUAAGAAAAUUCAAACGUACAAAAGCUAAAAGCUACACCUAGAGAAAAAUCCAAGUGGCUGAUUCCGUUGCCAAAAAAUUUAUGUCUACAAAGAAACGUUGAGGAAGUUUUUUAACCGUGUGUGUGUGUGUGUGUGUACGUACACUGGUGACAACCUUGGGUGUCAGCCCUCAGCUGCCAUUCAUCCUAUAUUUUAAGACAUUGGCCCCGAACUUGACAAAUAGAUGAGGUGGGGUCAGUGAGCCCCAGGAAUCUUCCUGUAUCCACCUUGCCAGCUCUGCCAGACAAGAGGGCGCCUCACCAGAAUUUUUAGGACUUUUCUUUUUUCCAAAGGUUUGGGUGAUCAAAUUCAGGUCCUUACAAUUGCAUGGCAGGUACUUCACUGAGCGAGCUACAAGACUUACUUAGCUGAUUAUGGAAUUGUGGUUAUAAAUGCAGAGCGCUGAAUUUGCCAUCUUUGCCAUUUUUAAGUUUCUAGUUCAAAAGUUUUGAGUAUAUUCAUGUUGCUGUGUAAGAACACUCUAGAAUUCUCUCCUCUUGGGAAACUAUGACUUCUGUUAAGCACUAAUUCUCCCUCUUCCUUCUCGCCAGUCCUUGGCAGCCACAUUCCUAUUUUCUGUUUCUAUGAUUUAAACUACAUUAAUGUCUAAGCUAGGGUUUCUAUUGCUGUGAUAAAACACUGUGACCCAAAGCAAUCUGGGUUUAUUUUAUCUUAUGCUUCCAGGUAACACUUUAUCACUGAGGAAAGUCAGGGCAAGGACAAAGGCAAAUCCAAUGGAGGAGUGCUGCUUAAUGGCUUGCUCCCAUGGCUUGCUCGGUAUGGGUUCUUACAGCACCCAAGACUGCCAGCCCAGGAGUAGCACCACCCACAGUGAGCUGGGCCACACCACAUCUACCACCAGUCAUCCCCACAAGCUUGCCCACAGGCCUGUCUUAGGGAACCGCUUCCUCAAUUCUGUUUCAUCCUCUUAGAUAAUGCUAGCUUGUAUGAAGUAGAAAACCCAACCAACCAACCAAACAGCUUCCCGGCACAACGAGAUGUGUUAUGUGCGUGGAAUUACAGAGUGUCGGUCCUUUCAUGAUUUACCCAAGUUGAAACAAAUGCCAAGGUUUCCUUCUUCUGAAAGGCUCGGUGACAUUUGACGGUGUGCAGGUGUCAUUUUGGGUAUUGCCUGUCCCCUGACUGCUGCAAAUACUUCUGCAGUAAACCUGGGUGUGCAAACAUCGCUCUGAGAUUCUGCUCUGGAUUAUUGUGGGUGCAUGCCCAGAAGUAAAACUGCUCAAUGACAAGAAGCUCCUGCACACCCCGGAUGCUGAAGAGUCUAAAGUCACCAGAAGAAGUAAUGCCACCAACAAACUGAGGCCUGGAGGGAGCUCCCUGAUACAAAAUUUGCUCCCAUCCCCUUGAGUGGAAUGUCUACCGGCUGACACACAAUUGGUACUUCUGUUGUGAAUGAUCAAUAAAGGGUUGUGCCAGAGCCUCU